UACGAAGGGGGCUAGCGUUGCUCGGAAUCACUGGGCGUAAAGCGCACGUAGGCGGCUUUUUAAGUCAGGGGUGAAAUCCUGGAGCCCAACUCCAGAACUGCCUUUGAUACUGGGAAGCUUGAGUCCGGGAGAGGUGAGUGGAACUCCGAGUGUAGAGGUGAAAUUCGUAGAUAUUCGGAAGAACACCAGUGGCGAAGGCGGCUCACUGGCCCGGUACUGACGCUGAGGUGCGAAAGCGUGGGGAGCAAACAGG
rnacentral:rRNA from 1 species